rnacentral:rRNA from 1 species
UACAGAGGGGGCAAGCGUUAUUCGGAAUUAUUGGGCGUAAAGGGUGCGUAGGCGGCCUGCUGCGUCGGUGCUGAAAGCGCCCGGCUUAACCGGGCGAGGCGUGCCGAUACGAGCGGGCUGGAGCCUUGGCGAGGGUGGCGGAACUCCUGGUGUAGUGGUGAAAUGCGUAGAGAUCAGGAAGAACACCCGUGGCGCAAGCGGCCACCUGGCCAAGAGCUGACGCUGAGGCACGAGAGCGUGGGGAGCGAACCGG